CAAUAGCGUAUAUUAAAGUUGUUGCAGUUAAAAAGCUCGUAGUUGGAUUUCUGUGAGAGUGCCGGUGUCGGCUGAUGCUUGUACGCAGGCGCUCUUACAUCCUUCUGUUAACUGUUCUUGGCAUUUUAUUGCUGGUUCAGGGCUCAGAUAUUUUACCUUGAGAAAAUUAGAGUGUUUCAGGCAGGCUUAUGCCGGAAUACAUUAGCAUGGAAUAAUGGAACAGGACCUGUGCGUCUCUCGGGGCGCCGGUCUCCGUUGUUGGUUUCGGGGACUAAUGUAAUGAUUAAUAGGGAUAGUUGGGGGCAUUAGUAUUUAAUAGCCAGAGGUGAAAUUCUCGGAUUUGUUAAAGACUAACUUAUGCGAAAGCAUUUGCCAAGGAUGUUUUCAUUAA
rnacentral:rRNA from 1 species